rnacentral:rRNA from 1 species
GACAGAGGGUGCAAACGUUGUUCGGAAUUACUGGGCGUAAAGCGCGUGUAGGCGGCCAUCUAAGUCGGGCGUGAAAUCCCACGGCUCAACCGUGGAAGUGCACUCGAAACUGGAUGGCUAGAGUCCUGGAGAGGAAGGUGGAAUGCUUGGUGUAGAGGUGAAAUUCGUAGAUAUCAAGCGGAACACCGAUGGCGAAGGCAGGUCUCUGGGCAUUAACUGACGCUGAGGAGCGAAAGCGUGGGGAGCGAACAGG